rnacentral:rRNA from 1 species
AAUCAAUUAAACUGAUCUCCUAGUAAAAAAGCUAGAAUUACAACAUAAGACCAGAAGACCCUGUGAAGCUUAAAUAAAACUAUUAAACCACAUAAUAACUACUUUCGGUUGGGGCGACCUUGGAAAAAAAGAGAACUUCCAAAUAAAAUGACUAUACCUCAUUAUCCAAAUUAGGCCAACAAGCCAAAAAUGACCCAGCACAGCUGAUAAUUGAACCAAGUUACUCCAGGGAUAACAGCGCAAUCUUCUUCAAGAGCCCAUAUCAAAAAGAAGGUUUACGACCUCGAUGUUGGAUCAGGACAUCCUAAUGGUGCAGCCGCUAUUAAGGGUUCGUUUGUUCAACGAUUAAUA